rnacentral:rRNA from 1 species
GACAGAGGGUGCAAGCGUUGUUCGGAAUUAUUGGGCGUAAAGGGCGCGUAGGCGGCUGAGCAAGUCGAAUGUGAAAGCUCUGGGCUUAACCCAGAAAGUGCAUUUGAUACUGCUCAACUUGAGUCCCGGAGAGGGUGGUGGAAUUCCCAGUGUAGAGGUGAAAUUCGUAGAUAUUGGGAGGAACACCGGUGGCGAAGGCGACCACCUGGACGGAGACUGACGCUGAGGCGCGAAAGCGUGGGGAGCAAACAGG